GACGAACGCUGGCGGCGUGCUUAACACAUGCAAGUCGAACGGAAAGGCCCUGCUUUUGUGGGGUGCUCGAGUGGCGAACGGGUGAGUAACACGUGAGUAACCUGCCCUUGACUUUGGGAUAACUUCAGGAAACUGGGGCUAAUACCGGAUAGGAGCUCCUGCUGCAUGGUGGGGGUUGGAAAGUUUCGGCGGUUGGGGAUGGACUCGCGGCUUAUCAGCUUGUUGGUGGGGUAGUGGCUUACCAAGGCUUUGACGGGUAGCCGGCCUGAGAGGGUGACCGGCCACAUUGGGACUGAGAGACGGACCAGACUCCUACGGGAGGCAGCAGUGGGGAAUAUUGCACAAUGGGCGGAAGCCUGAUGCAGCAACGCCGCGUGCGGGAUGCCGGCCUUCGGGUUGUAAACCGCUUUCGCCUGUGACGAAGCGUGAGUGACGGUAAUGGGUAAAGAAGCACCGGCUAACUACGUG
rnacentral:rRNA from 1 species